GAUGAACGCUAGCGGCAGGCUUAAUACAUGCAAGUCGUGGGGCAGCGCAGGUAGCAAUACUGGGCGGCGACCGGCAAACGGGUGCGGAACACGUACACAACCUUCCGAGAAGUGGGGAAUAGCCCAGAGAAAUUUGGAUUAAUACCCCGUAACAUAACGAUGUGGCAUCACAUUGUUAUUAUAGCUUCGGCGCUUCUUGAUGGGUGUGCGGCUGAUUAGAUAGUUGGCGGGGUAACGGCCCACCAAGUCUACGAUCAGUAGCUGAUGUGAGAGCAUGAUCAGCCACACGGGCACUGAGACACGGGCCCGACUCCUACGGGAGGCAGCAGUAAGGAAUAUUGGUCAAUGGACGCAAGUCUGAACCAGCCAUGCCGCGUGAAGGAUUAAGGUCCUCUGGAUUGUAAACUGCUUUGUACAGGAAGAAACACUGGUUCGUGAACCAGCUUGACGGUACUGUAAGAAUAAGG
rnacentral:rRNA from 1 species